UGGGGAAUUUUGGACAAUGGGCGAAAGCCUGAUCCAGCAAUGCCGCGUGUGUGAAGAAGGCCUUCGGGUUGUAAAGCACUUUUGUCCGGAAAGAAAUCCUUGGCUCUAAUACAGUCGGGGGAUGACGGUACCGGAAGAAUAAGCACCGGCUAACUACGUGCCAGCAGCCGCGGUAAUACGUAGGGUGCAAGCGUUAAUCGGAAUUACUGGGCGUAAAGCGUGCGCAGGCGGUUUGCUAAGACCGAUGUGAAAUCCCCGGGCUCAACCUGGGAACUGCAUUGGUGACUGGCAGGCUAGAGUAUGGCAGAGGGGGGCAGAAUUCCACGUGUAGCAGUGAAAUGCGUAGAGAUGUGGAGGAAUACCGAUGGCGAAGGCAGCCCCCUGGGCCAAUACUGACGCUCAUGCACGAAAGCGUGGGGAGCAAACAGGAUUAGAUACCCUGGUAGUCCACGCCCUAAACGAUGUCAACUAGUUGUUGGGGAUUCAUUUCCUUAGUAACGUAGCUAACGCGUGAAGUUGACCGCCUGGGGAGUACGGUCGCAAGAUUAAAACUUAAAUGAAUUGACGGGGUCAUAGCUGUUUCCU
rnacentral:rRNA from 1 species